GGCACACACAUCCCUGAGGGAAGCACAGCAGCUCAAUACUUUGCCACUUCUAGACACACACUGGAGCCUCGGGCCGACAGCCCCCUUGUCCCCCCAGGGGAGACAAGGGACAGAAACGGAGCAAGAAGACAAACGAAAAUAUAAGCUUGGUUCUUUCCUGUGCCUGGUUUGCUUUAAUCCCGUCUCAUGGUUAGACAGGAGAGACAGAGACAGAAGAGUGACCAGAGAGGAGGGGCAAAAAGCUACUGCAGACCCCUGGCGGCCAGGCAGGGAGAGAGCAAGAAGCAGUGAGGACCAAGAGGGAGGGUGGGGACCGCGGGAAGCUCCAGACACAAGACCCCGCGAAUCUGACAUACAAAGGCCAAGGCCGGGCCCGUGUGAGCGGAGGAGCCGCCGCCACCCUCGGCCGCGAUCCGCGGGUCUUGGCCACUCGGAGACCCUGGCACCCGGCGGGGACCUCGGGGACCUCCUGCCGCGAUGAGCUCCAGGCCGUGACCUCCCGAGCCCAGGACAGGCGGCGCCGGCUCAUGGCCCGGAGGUAUGAUGAGCUGCGCCACUACCCAGGCAUUACAGAGCACACGACAGCCCUGGCCAGCUUUUCAGAGGCAGCGCCUUCAGUACCUAGAGCCCCUGGGCCCUACACCCCACACCGGCCACCCCAGCUCCAAGCUCCAGGCUUGGACAGCGACAGCUUGAAGAGAGAGAAGGAUGACAUCUAUGGACACCCCCUCUUCCCACUCUUGGCCCUGGUCUUUGAGAAGUGUGAGCUGGCUACAUGCUCGCCCCGUGAUGGGGCCUCGGCUGGGCUGGGUUCACCCCCAGGUGGUGACGUCUGCUCCUCUGACUCCUUCAAUGAGGAUAUUGCUGCCUUUGCUAAGCAGAUCCGCUCCGAGAGGCCGCUGUUCUCUUCCAACCCGGAGCUGGACAACCUGAACUCCAGGUGGUCAGAAACCGAAUCCCAACUCUGCCACUCUAGCUUCAUGAACCAGGGAGCCAAGAUGGUCCAGGCCAUCCAGGUACUCCGGUUCCACCUGCUGGAGCUGGAGAAGGUCCACGACCUGUGCGACAACUUCUGUCACCGCUACAUCACCUGCCUCAAGGGGAAGAUGCCCAUAGACCUGGUGAUUGAGGAUCGGGAUGGUAGUUGCAGGGAGGAUCUUGAGGACUACGCAGCCUCCUGCCCCAGCCUCCCAGACCAGAAUACUACAUGGAUCAGAGACCAUGAGGACAGUGGGUCUGUACAUUUGGGGACCCCAGGUCCAUCCAGCGGAGGCCUGGCCUCCCAGAGUGGGGACAACUCAAGUGACCAAGCACCAACUGGACAUGUCUCCCCCUGGCCCCAGGAGAUGGGCUGGACACAAGCGUAGCCUCUCCCAGCUCCGCAGGAGAGGAUGAGGACCUGGACCUGGAACGCAGACGGAACAAGAAGAGGGGGAUCUUUCCCAAAGUGGCCACCAACAUCAUGAGGGCCUGGUUGUUCCAGCAUCUCUCGCACCCGUACCCUUCAGAAGAGCAAAAGAAACAGCUGGCCCAGGACACAGGGCUCACCAUCCUGCAGGUGAACAACUGGUUUAUUAAUGCCCGGAGACGAAUAGUGCAGCCCAUGAUUGACCAGUCUAAUCGCACAGGGCAGGGUGCAUCUUUCAACCCUGAGGGCCAGCCCAUGGCAGGCUUCACAGAGACUCAGCCACAAGUGACAGUCAGGACACCAGGAUCAAUGGGGAUGAACCUGAACUUAGAAGGAGAGUGGCAUUACCUAUAGAGGCUGGGUUCAAAGGGAAGGUGGGAAGGCCCCAGCCUCUGACUGUGACCACCAGCCUUGCACCUAAUUGGUCCCUGCUGGUCCUUGGGCUUCAGGACUUCACCUCCAAAGCUCCCACCCCAUUCAACGCCUACCUCCCUGGGGUCCCCAGUAGCUUGAGGACCAAGAGCCCACUUGAGGGUCUCUCAAGGGCAAAGACAAAGCCUCCAGGUCCUGCACCCUUCUUCUGCCCUCCCCUUUGCCCAGGACCUAAGCAGAAAACUGGGCCAAGGUCUGAAGAAGAUGGUGGCUGGGGCCCCGACCCAGGACAGAGAAGAGACUGGGGUUGGACAAGGAUGGUCAAGGAAGAAGGGUCACCUGGAUCCAAUGUUUGGAAGAAUCCUCCAUCUUCCUGCCCUCUGCCUCCCCCACCUCCCUUCUCUGACAUUCUUCUACUUUUCCUUUUUUAAUAAUAAAGUCUUUAAAAUGCAAAUCAAAA